UACGUAGGCAGCGAGCGUUGUUCGGAGUUACUGGGCGUAAAGGGUGUGUAGGCGGUUGUUUAAGUUUGGUGUGAAAUCUCCCGGCUCAACUGGGAGGGUGCGCCGAAUACUGAAUGACUUCGAGUGCGGGAGAGGAGAGUGGAAUCCUGGUGUAGCGGUGAAAUGCGUAGAUAUCUGGAGGAAUACCGGUGGCGAAGGCGGCAUCCUGGACCGGCAUUGACGCUGAGUGAGCGAAAGCUAGGGGAGCAAACGGG
rnacentral:rRNA from 1 species